rnacentral:rRNA from 1 species
GACGAACGCUGGCGGCGCGCCUAACACAUGCAAGUCGAACGGAGCUUGCUUGUCAGAUCCUUUCGGGGUGACGACUUGUAAGCUUAGUGGCGAACGGGUGAGUAACACGUGAGUAACCUGCCCCAGAGUGGGGACGAACAGUUGGAAACGACUGCUAAUACCGCAUAAGCCCACGGAACCGCAUGGUUCUGGGGAAAAGGAGCAAUUCGCUCUGGGAUGGACUCGCGUCCGAUUAGCUGGAUGGUGAGGUAACGGCCCACCAUGGCGACGAUCGGUAGCCGGACUGAGAGGUUGAUCGGCCACAUUGGGACUGAGACACGGCCCAG